rnacentral:rRNA from 1 species
UAGAGUUUGAUCCUGGCUCAGGACGAACGCUGGCGGCGUGCUUAACACAUGCAAGUCGAACGAUGAAGCCCUUCGGGGUGGAUUAGUGGCGAACGGGUGAGUAACACGUGGGCAAUCUGCCCUGCACUCUGGGACAAGCCCUGGAAACGGGGUCUAAUACCGGAUAUUACCGCCGAGGCAUCUCGGCGGGUGGAAAGCUCCGGCGGUGCAGGAUGAGCCCGCGGCCUAUCAGCUUGUUGGUGAGGUAGUGGCUCACCAAGGCGACGACGGGUAGCCGGCCUGAGAGGGCGACCGGCCACACUGGGACUGAGACACGGCCCAGACUCCUACGGGAGGCAGCAGUGGGGAAUAUUGCACAAUGGGCGAAAGCCUGAUGCAGCGACGCCGCGUGAGGGAUGACGGCCUUCGGGUUGUAAACCUCUUUCAGCAGGGAAGAAGCGAGAGUGACGGUACCUGCAGAAGAAGCGCCGGCUAACUACGUGCCAGCAGCCGCGGUAAUACGUAGGGCGCAAGCGUUGUCCGGAAUUAUUGGGCGUAAAGAGCUCGUAGGCGGCUUGUCACGUCGGGUGUGAAAGCCCGGGGCUUAACCCCGGGUUGCAUUCGAUACGGGCAGGCUAGAGUGUGGUAGGGGAGAUCGAUCGGUGUAAAUGGCAGAUAUCAGGAGGAACCGGGCGAAGGCGGUCAGGGAAGG